rnacentral:rRNA from 1 species
GACGGUACUGUAUGAAUAAGGAUCGGCUAACUCCGUGCCAGCAGCCGCGGUAAUACGGAGGAUCCGAGCGUUAUCCGGAAUUAUUGGGUUUAAAGGGUCCGUAGGCGGGAUAAUAAGUCAGUGGUGAAAGUUUGUGGCUCAACCAUAAAAUUGCCAUUGAUACUGUUAUUCUUGAGUAAUUGUGAAGUGGUUAGAAUGUGUAGUGUAGCGGUGAAAUGCAUAGAUAUUACACAGAAUACCAAUUGCGAAGGCAGAUCACUAACAAUUAACUGACGCUGAUGGACGAAAGCGUAGGUAGCGAACAGGAUUAGAUACCCUGGUAGUCUACGCAGUAAACGAUGGUUACUAGCUGUUUGGUCUAAUUGAGGGCUAAGUGGCUAAGCGAAAGUGAUAAGUAACCCACCUGGGGAGUACGUUCGCAAGAAUGAAACUCAAAGGAAUUGACGGGGGCCCGCACAAGCGGUGGAGCAUGUGGUUUAAUUCGAUGAUACGCGAGGAACCUUACCAGGGCUUAAAUGCAGUCUGACAGGGGUAGAAAUACCUUUUUCUUCGGACAGAUUGCAAGGUGCUGCAUGGUUGUCGUCAGCUCGUGCCGUGAGGUGUCAGGUUAAGUCCUAUAACGAGCGCAACCCCUAUGGUUAGUUGCUAGCAGGUCAUGCUGAGAACUCUAGCCAGACUGCCGGUGUAAACCGCGAGGAAGGUGGGGAUGACGUCAAAUCAUCACGGCCCUUACGUCCUGGGCUACACACGUGCUACAAUGGUAUGUACAAUGAGCAGCCACUACGCGAGUAGGCGCAAAUCUCAAAAGCAUAUCACAGUUCGGAUCGGAGUCUGCAACUCGACUCCG